rnacentral:rRNA from 1 species
UACGAAGGGUGCAAGCGUUGUUCGGAAUGACUGGGCGUAAAGGGCGUGUAGGCGGCUUUGUGCGUCAGAUGUGAAAGUCCUGGGCUUAACCUAGGGAUUGCAUUUGAUACGGCAAGGCUAGAGGUAAUGAGGGGAGAAUGGAAUUGCGCAUGUAGAAGUGAAAUUCGUAGAGAUGCGCAGGAACACCAGUGGCGAAGGCGAUUCUCUGGCACUUACCUGACGCUAAGGCGCGAAAGCGUGGGGAGCAAACAGGAUUAGAUACCCUGGUAGUCCACGCUGUAAACGAUGGAUGCUAGAUGUUGGGUUCUUACGAACUCAGUGUCGCAGCUAACGCAUUAAGCAUCCCGCCUGGGGAGUACGGUCGCAAGAUUA